rnacentral:lncRNA from 1 species
AGUAAAUAUAUACUGAUUCAUUUUUCUCCUCUCUCUUUCCCUUAUUAUUUUUCUCUUCUUUCUCUCAUUCCCUCUUUCUCAUUAUUGUCUUUGAUUCUGUCUCAGAUUGGUCAAAAUAUCCAGGAAUAUUAGGGGACAACUAGGAAAAUUUAAAUACUAGAUACUUAUUGGUAUGAUAAAAUGUGAUUUUUUUAGGUAUGGUCGUUGUACUAUAAUUAUGUUUUAGAAAGAGUUCUUUUUUUCAGAGAUACAUGCUUAGGUGGAUGGAUGCUUUAUGCCUUAUGGAUGCUUUGAUAUGAUGUCUUGGACUUGCUUCAGUAAAACCCAGUGAAGUUAGGGGUUGAGGGACAAGAGUGAGUAGAGAUAUGGACAAAACAAGAUUGGCUAGAUUGAGCAGUGGGUACACAGGGAUUCAUUUUACUAUCAGUCUCUACUUUUGUGUAUGCUUGAAAAUUUCCAAAAUGAAACAUUUUCUAAAAUGUCCAAGAGAAAGUUCAGUCCUCAGUAUCUUCCUCAUGUUCACCAAAGUCCCCAGUUCUCCCCAAUGACAUUCUGGGCAGCUUUUCUCCUUGCUUUUCCCAGUACUUUCUGGGUUGUUCCAGACUCUGUGCCAGUGGAGUGCCACACUGCCUCAGCCCCCACAGCUGGCGAUUGGACAAGAAUCUCUUCCUGACCCCAGAUGGCAUCACAGCUUCCUCAGUCUGAUCCUGUCAGCAUAUUUUUUCCAGGCACCUGAUUCUUGGACGUGGCAGCAAUAAAACCAACCGAGAUUAUUUGGCCGGCCCCCUCUGGAGCAGGCCGGGAUCCACCCUUGCUUCCAACGUCAUAUGUCACUUCAUACUUUCACAGUCCUUCAAAUCUCUUCUCCCGUCUGAGCUUCAUGAGCCGGGAGCUGUGUCGACCCAUUGAAGCUAUUUGAAUAAGGAAGUGCUCAAAUACAAGGAGAUGCUUUUGGAAGAUUCCUCUAGCAGCAAAGUAGAAGAUGGCCUGACAUGAUGCCAAACAGGUCCCACGUACUCGCCUUGGCAUAGGUGGGGAGCUGUUGGUCCUGACUGGUUGAUGGCUGACUCCCAGUUCUGUGUUUAUCCACUGAAGCCCAGUGCAGUUGUUGUGCAAGGUGUCGGCAAAGGACCAGGAGAGGGGACCAAGCACCUCUAAGCUGAAGAAUGGUGUGCAUCUCUCCCCCUUCCACCGUUUCUGUUCAGGUUUGACUCACAGAGCCUUGCAGCUUCACAGUCACUUAUAAGAGGAGGUGGUAAAGACAGCUGCUGGAGAGAACAUCUGGCAGGGCUCUGAGCAAAUGUUCUUACCAGGGGGAUAUGAAGCCUGAGACCCUGACUAGCAUCUGAGCCCUGGGAUGCUGAGCGUUCCCCAACUCGUUAAUAAAAGGAUCUGCUGGACUCAUUGUAAGAUGGGAAUGACAAAAACUGUCUGGUUUACAUACGAGAUCACAGAUCAGGAAUGUUGGAGCGUUUCACUGGCAAGGAAUGAAGAGCUCAGCUACAAGCCUCGGAAAACAGGAGCAGGCACAGAGCAACAGCUCGUUGUGUGCUUCUUGCCCUGGGGAAAGGACGUAGUGCCUGUGGACACGGGAGUCCGCUAUCAAUGCAUGGUUACACACACCAACCGCCUGCUCUGUGUGCUGGACCCAGAAACCAUAGAGCCUUUUCCCAGCCCUUACAUUAGGACAGAGUACGAGGCUCCGAACUCUCUCCAGUGCAUCCAAGUAUCCUGGGUUUCCCUCAUUUUCUGAUCACAUUAUUGACUGGAAGGGGGAGGGGAGGGAGUACAGGUAACUAAGAAGUAGAGCGAGCACAUAGGUGUAUGAACUAUUAUAAAAUAAUAAAAAUAGCAACCACUUAUUGACCCCUA